AGAGUUUGAUCAUGGCUCAGAAUGAACGUUGGCAGCGUGGAUUAGGCAUGCAAGUCGAGCGACAAGGUCCUUCGGGACUGGAGGAGCGGCAAACGGGGUAGUAAGGCAUCGGAACGUACCCUCUUGUUCAGGAUACCCGCGGGAAACUGCGGUUAAUACUGGAUAACACACGGUGUGCAAACAUUGUGUCAAAGGUCCGCCGCGGGAGGAGCGGCCGAUGUGAUAUCAGCUAGUUGGUGUGGUAAUGGCGCACCAAGGCUUAGACGUCUAGGGGGUGUGAGAGCAUGGCCCCCACCACUGGGACUGAGAUACUGCCCAGACACUUACGGGUGGCUGCAGUCGAGAAUCUUCGGCAAUGGGCGCAAGCCUGACCGAGCGACGCUGCGUGUGGGAUGAAGGCCCUUGGGUUGUAAACCACUGUCAGAGGGGAUGAAAGCGUAAGCUUGACAGAGCCUCAGAGGAAGCGCGGGCUAAGUUCGUGCCAGCCGCCGCGGUAAUAC
rnacentral:rRNA from 1 species